AAACGCCUGUUUAUCCACAUCUGCUCCACUUCACCCUGACUCAUCUUCUUAUAGAGAAACAAUACCACAGGGCAUGGGAACCCACUCAUGGCUAUGAAUGCCCACUUUAUUGCCUUCUGUAAUGUAGCAAGCUCCUUCCUCAAUCUGAGUCAUUCAUCCUUGAUGGACCAAUCCUUGAAGGCAAUUCCAUAAUGUAAAGCAUACAAAAAGCACGUACCUGACGUCACGGUGCCUGCCCCAGCUGCGCAGGAAGAUAAGGACAUCCCGCCGCCUAGAGAUGCUGCAUCCUCCCUGCAAGACGAGGAGGAGGACGAGGCUGGAAAACAAUGACGGAGGGUCAGAGAGGAUGAGGAUCUACUGACAAAGUGAGAACCUAUGAUGUCCUGGCGUCAGACUCUGCAGAGAAGAUCGAGCUGGAAGACGUCCUGACGUCUGGACCAGAUGAAGAAGAAAAGGCAACAGAGAAGACGU